rnacentral:rRNA from 1 species
AACGAACGCUGGCGGCAUGCCUAACACAUGCAAGUCGAACGAGACCUUCGGGUCUAGUGGCGCACGGGUGCGUAACGCGUGGGAACCUGCCUUUAGGUUCGGGAUAACUCAGAGAAAUUUGAGCUAAUACCGGAUGAUGUCUUCGGACCAAAGAUUUAUCGCCUUUAGAUGGGCCCGCGUUGGAUUAGCUAGUUGGUGGGGUAAAGGCCUACCAAGGCGACGAUCCAUAGCUGGUCUGAGAGGAUGAUCAGCCACACUGGGACUGAGACACGGCCCAGACUCCUACGGGAGGCAGCAGUGGGGAAUAUUGGACAAUGGGCGAAAGCCUGAUCCGGCAAUGCCGCGUGAGUGAUGAAGGCCUUAGGGUUGUAAAGCUCUUUUACCCGAGAUGAUAAUGACAGUAUCGGGAGAAUAAGCUCCGGCUAACUCCGUG